UUGACAGCUUUGGAAACAGAUUGCUUCUUUUUCUCCCAAGAAUAGAUCCAGCCUGAUAAACAGAGGUGUAAGAUUUCCCCAACUGUUUCACCGGGACGCCCUCAUCCUGACAAAGGGAUGGCUGCGAGAGAGAAAGGACAAGUCACCUUUCCCAGCCAGUUCUCUGCCGACACUGCU
rnacentral:sRNA from 1 species